GCCUAUGGCCAUACCACCCUAAACACGCCUGAUUGUCUGAUCUCGGAAGCUAAGCAGGGUUGGGCCUGGUUAGUACUUGGAUAUAGAAGCUAGUGCGAGGCA
rnacentral:rRNA from 1 species